UACGUAGGUGGCAAGCGUUGUCCGGAAUUAUUGGGCGUAAAGCGCGCGCAGGCGGUCUUUUAAGUCUGAUGUGAAAGCCCACGGCUCAACCGUGGAAGGUCAUUGGAAACUGGGAGGCUUGAGUACAGAAGAGGAAAGCGGAAUUCCACGUGUAGCGGUGAAAUGCGUAGAGAUGUGGAGGAACACCAGUGGCGAAGGCGGCUUUCUGGUCUGUAACUGACGCUGAGGCGCGAAAGCGUGGGGAGCAAACAGG
rnacentral:rRNA from 1 species